rnacentral:lncRNA from 1 species
UUUCCGUAAAAAGCUAUACGUUCGGGGGAACACGACUCACACAAUUACGGACUCAAUUACCGCUUUAAUACAACUUAUUCAUCACAAUAUUUCAGCAUUCAACAUCCCAAUUAGGGUCAAUUCCACGGUUUAUCACUACCCAUGACAUGUUAAUCUAUAAUACCCAUUAAACGACGAUAAACCCCCCUUACCUGAGAUAAUCCGGCAAUCUCUAAGCUUCAAGCUUUUCUCUUCUUC